rnacentral:rRNA from 1 species
AGGUGCGAUCGUACCAGCACUAAUACAUUGGAUCCCAUAAGAACUCUGAAGUUAAGCAUGCUUGGGUGUGAGUAGUACUAAGAUGGACUUUGUCACAGGACUUUCACAGACACAUG